rnacentral:tRNA from 1 species
GGGGGUGUGGCUCAGUGGUAGAGCGCUCGCUUUGCAUGUGAGACGUCCCGGGUUCAAACCCCGGCACCUCCA